CUGUCUCCCAGGCCUGAGCCUUGCAGGGAUUGUUCCCCCUGUCAAGGUCUCAUAACUAGGCUGCAUUCCCUUUGUGACCUCAGUUUACCCAUUUGUGAAAUAAGAGGGUUGGACAAGGUGACCUGUUGGAGGCUUCCAGAACUCAGCCCCCAAGACUGUGGUGCUAAACACAUUGGGAAGCUCACAGUGUUCCCCAGGGAAUGGGGUCCAGUAGAUUCAGCCAGGUUUUCUUCAAAGGAUCCCAGUGAUGACCUCUGGUGCCCUGAGUCCACAUCCUUAUGGCUUGUGAUCAAAGAGAAGAGAAGCUCCUUUCUCCAGCUUCCGCCUAAUAAAUCUUGUGAAGUCGCUGAUGGA
rnacentral:lncRNA from 1 species